AAAGUUACAUUAAUACUGAAAAAUCUGAUUAUGGGAAAUAGAGUCCAAGACUGUCAGCACUUCAAGUCGCUCUGAAAUUCCAUCAUAGUCUUGAAAAGAGAUACCAAAUAAGAAACUUUCCAUUGUGGCAGGCAAAUGAAGUAAAGGAUCUAAACAAUCAAAUAGGCAAAGGAUAUAAGGGAUUCCAGAUUUACAAUGGAACAAAAUGGUGGCAAGCCCAGCUUUGGAACAUGCAGGUGUAUCUGUAUGAUCUGGAUUUUUAUGGGGAGCUGCAGACAUUUAAAAACAGUGAAAAUCAUACAUAAACACAAC